AUACAGUACCUGGCUGGGGGGAGAGACCACGAUCAAGAAGGUGGUUCUCUCAGGAUGAGGCUCCUCCAUUACACUUUGGAGUGGUUGACCCCUGUGAUUUCCCCAGAUGUGGGAAACUCAACUGUAUAAUUUAUGGUUGUGGAGGACUGUGUUUGUGUUGUCCCCUG